CUUUCGCGGUGAAGAAAAAUCACCAUGUCUUCUUCUAGACUGGGGCUCCGUGUGGCUUCUUGUUUACUAAAUAUUUCAGAAGCCAGAAGAAAAUCCAUGGUUGAGAACAUAGCAAAAACAGCUCUUCUUGAAAAAUAAUGCUUGUUACAG